UUCCGGUUGAUCCUGCCGGACCUGACUGCUAUCGGAUUGAUACUAAGCCAUGCGAGUCUUUGCAGUAAUGCAAGGCAUACGGCUCAGUAACACGUAGUCAACUUACCCUAUGGACGAGGAUAAUCUCGGGAAACUGAGCAUAAUACUCGAUAGAUCAUAAUGCCUGGAAUGGUUUAUGGUUGAAAUGAUUCGUCGCCAUAGGAUGGGACUGCGGUCUAUCAGCUUGUUGGUGAGGUAAUGGCCCACCAAGGCGAUUACAGGUACGGGCUCUGAGAGGAGAAGCCCGGAGAUGGGUACUGAGACAAGGACCCAGGCCCUAUGGGGCGCAGCAGGCGAGAAAACUUUGCAAUGUGCGAAAGCACGACAAGGUUAAUCCGAGUGAUUUCUGCUAAAGAAAUCUUUUGCAAGUCAUAAAACCACUAGUGAAUAAGGGGUGGGCAAGUUCUGGUGUCAGCCGCCGCGGUAAAACCAGCACCUCAAGUGGUCAGGAGGAUUAUUGGGCCUAAAGCAUCCGUAGCCGGCUCUGUAAGUUUUCGGUUAAAUCCAUGUGCUCAACGCAUGGGCUGCCGAAAAUACUGCAUAGCUAGGGAGUGGGAGAGGUAGACGGUACUCGGUAGGAAGGGGUAAAAUCCUUUGAUCUAUCGAUGACCACCUGUGGCGAAGGCGGUCUACCAGAACACGUUCGACGGUGAGGGAUGAAAGCUGGGGGAGCAAACCGGAUUAGAUACCCGGGUAGUCCCAGCUGUAAACGAUGCAGACUCGAUGAUGCAUUGGCAUAUAGCCAGUGCAGUGUCGCAGGGAAGCCGUUAAGUCUGCCGCCUGGGAAGUACGUACGCAAGUGUGAAACUUAAAGGAAUUGGCGGGGGAGCACCACAAGGGGUGAAGCCUGCGGUUCAAUUGGACUCAACGCCGGGA
rnacentral:rRNA from 1 species